CCAUUUCUUCCUCUUGAAUAUUCUAUUUUCUUUUUUUCCUUUUCAAAUUCCUGCUGUUUUUUGGUUGCGUCUUCAUGAAUGUUGAGCAAAGGUAGUUGGUGAGCAAAGGUAGUUGAUGUGGUUUCCUGUGCAAAUGUGUUGGUCUGUAAAGCAGAACCAUCACCCUCUUGACCUGGACGCACAUGGGCGGCUCUGGUAACAGGUGCACUUCCCCUGGGGUGCCAGAGCAGAGAACAGGCUUGCAACCUUCCAUGAUUGGUUCUUUCCUCAGAUGAUCCCAAUUCUUCAGAGGUAAAAAACAUAUCCAGCAAAAUAAUUAUUUAGUUGUCUCGUAAGGCAAAUCCGUACAUUAACUGAAUUUUAUCUGCUUUCAUUCUGGGGAGAAGAAGGCAGCAGAGCACAUGAUAAGGGACCGAAUUGUAAUGAAGGACUAGGCGGAGAGUUGAUAGAGCGGCAUAAACGUUUGCAGAGACAAAGCACCAUUACAUUUCUCCAUUCGUGAUUGCCCGUGGCUCAUCUGGUGUUUUGUUGCUCAAGAAGCUGACAGCCUGAUGGGCCUUCCCGCGUGCCCCUCCACGCAUUCCUGGGGCAUCACUCACUAGAUGCUGUUUGCUGGAUCCUUGUGGUGGGUCUCUUCCUACCUGGUCCCCAUGUCUGGGGUCUCCUUGCAGUGGCUGACUCUCCUGGGAUCUCUGUGGGAUCUCAGCCAUCAUCACAGUGGUUAAACCUCCGUCUCUAGCCCAUGUCUCUCUCUGAAGUCCCACCUGGGGGUCCCCUUCUCCCACUCACAGCCCCCAGGCUGAGGUCAGCAUUUUUCCUGCUCUCUUGUUCCCAAGUGCCUAUUUUGCUUUGUGGUGUCCCAUCUAUCCAGUGAUCCGAGUCUGGCAGCAGGAGACAUCACACGCAGGGCCCUUUAUUUCACCUCUGACAUCUUAGUAAUUACGUGAUCUUGUCUUUCGUAGCGUGAGCUGCUUUAACAAUCACCACGGACUGGGGGGCUUAAACAACAUAGAUUUAUUUCUCACAGUUUUGGGGGCUGGAAGUCUGAGAUCGGGGUACGGCCUGAGCCGCUGGGGGUCCUCUCCGUAGUUUGCAGAUGCAUGCCUCUAGCAGAGAGGUCACCUCUGGUGUCUUUCUUAGAAGGGCACUAAUGCCACUGAGGGGGCUCCACGCUUAUGACCUACUCACCUCCCAGAGGCCCUUCUCCUGAUAUUGUCACACUGGGGACUGGGCUUCAAUGCGUGGAUUUGGGGGGACACUCACUUUCAGUCCGUGGACUAUCUUGUAUCUUUCACGCACCUGUUGUGUGUCCCCUUCUCAGUCUUCUCGUGCUUUAGCUCAAGUCUUCCUUGUCCUGGUCUGCGUGGCCUCUAGAUGUUUUCUCCCUGUGCUUGUGUGUGUUUUUCUCUGACGACACCGCACACAUCCAGAGUGUGGCUCUUGUGCUGCAAGGUCUUGUGUGCGGGACCAUACCUGUCUGUCUGUCUGUCUGUCUUCUCCUCUAAGCCCUUAGGGCCUCCGUCCCCAAUCUCUUAUGCACCCACCACAACAGCAACAACAACAACAACGACAACCAGUGGCAAUUAAGCUCCCCACGGGUAGGGCUUUUUAUACUUUUCCUGUUUUAUUCGCAGCUGGUCUCCAGGACCUAGAACAGUGCAUGACUUACCAUUGGUGUCGAAGAAGUAGGGUAUGGAUCCACUCGUACCUAUUUCGAUCCAUCUGACAAGUGCGUCUUCCCCAGCUCCUGUCCCUGUCUCCUGAUUUUUCCUCUUUCCCUCCCUAUCAGGUGUCACACACGAAUGCAAACCACUCUGAUAGCACCUUCCGGAUAAUAGUGGAGAAGAAUGCGUUGGCCACGCCUGUGGCUGCAUCCCGUGGGCUGGGACGCGUUAAUCAGCUCUGGCAAAGCUACUCCGACUGGAAGUCACAAAGGGGGUUGCUGCUUGGUUGUCCUGUCCUGUAGAGUAUGUCGGGAUUGUUUCCAGGCCAGAUUGGUGAAUGAAAUAGAUGUGUGUUGGGUUCAUACCCUGCACCCCCCUCAGUCUUCAGCCUCUGGUGUUCCUUCCAGAUGAUGAGACUCAGGGACCGCCGUUCAACUCCGUUAUCCUCGUAAUUACCGCUUUCCAAAGCUCUCCAGCAUCUGAGAUGUUGUACUUACAGUGCGUUCCUUCCCUUCCACGCUGUCUGUCCCAGUGUGCCAGUGGUCAAAGUUUUAACACUGCGCCGUGACAUCCUGCCAAGGGCUUUCAGUGCCCCACCUGCCACCCGUGUGGUAGAUGGAUGCCGUGCACUCCAGGGCUGAGCUCUCCCAUCUGAAUUGCUACUUGUAGACAAUCUGAUGGACUGGGCACCUUGGGAGCGUAAGGAAGAUGCCAAGGGUAAUUCUUCAGCCUUUGUUCUGAUGAAGAGCACAGGGUGCGUGUGUAUUCCCACUGCAUCGAUUUGAAAAUACUUGGGUGUGUUUACAGAGGAGGGGAUUUGCCAGUCGCAAUGGUGGUGGGCCUCAUGGGCGCAGGCACGCCUGGCGGGGACCUAGGGACCAGCAGAGCAUUUCCAUCACCCAGAAGAGAGAGGUACCUUAGGCCAAGAGUGAACUUGUUUUAAGUGACAGGAGUGGCUAAAGACUCAGGUAAAUGAAGAGAAAGACAAGAUUUGAAGAAUCUGGUAAAUAAAUAGUUAGCCUUUGUGUGUCCUAGGAA